rnacentral:sRNA from 1 species
GACAGAAAGUGAGAUUCAGAUCCUUUCACUCUCAUAUGCUAAACCUUUUGCUUUACUCUGGGUCAUCAGAGAAAUUUAGGUGAGAAUGUAUGAUGAAGUCUGUGUUUUAGAUUCAAUGCAGAUAUAUCAUUAUAGGCAGAACCCUUUUCUGGUUAUACCCAGUUAAGAGUAAAUCAGGCUUUCGGCCCAGACGGGGUUUCACCUUGUUGAUCAGGCUGGUCUCCAACUCCUGACCUCAGGUCAUUCACCCACCUCGGCCACAGUGCCUGGCCGAAAUUUGUGAUUUUAUAACUAAGAAUUUUCAGUUAAGAACAUUAUCAGUAAAGACAACGUAAUCCCACCCUGGAGAGUCUAUUCAAUAAAUCUUGAGGGGAGCCCAGGAAUAUGCAUUUUUAAUACGUGCGCCCGUGCACGCAUGCACACACGCACACACACACACACACUGAUCAGAGUAACAGGAGUUUCUCUCAGGAGUCAUACUACAUGAGCCUGGACCCAGUGGUUCUUUAUGUGGAAACAGAUGUCAGCUAUAGGUAACCUGGUAACUGCUAUUUUCUUCAUCUGCUCUGUCAAAAAAGGUAUCAGUGACUUGCAGGAGAUGCCUUUAAUACUCAGAGCAUUCUAUCUCCUCCUAUCUGGUUUAGAAGGAAGGCCUUCAUUAGUUACCUAUUGAAAAGUUACCAGAAU